rnacentral:rRNA from 1 species
CUACCCUAGCUGUGUUGGCUUUCUAACCCGCACCACUUAUCGUGGUGGGAGACAGUGUCAGGCGGGCAGUUUGACUGGGGCGGUCGCUCCUAAAAGGUAACGGAGGCGCUCAAAGGUUCCCUCAGAAUGGUUGGAAAUCAUUCAUAGAGUGUAAAGGCAUAAGGGAGCUUGACUGCGAGACCUACAAGUCGAGCAGGGUCGAAAGACGGACUU